AAGCCUAAUUAGAACCAUUUCUUGUUUCUGAUAAACAUGUUUGUUCGGAAUUAUGGUGAAUGUGUUUUAAUUGGGAAGCGGCCAGACAACCGUAGUGAUGGUAUCCACAGAUGCUGGGUUUUCUUCUCCCAUUUGUCUACUGAUUCCAUCACACAUUU
rfam:Cicer arietinum chromosome Ca6, whole genome shotgun sequence.